rnacentral:rRNA from 1 species
UACGGGGGGUGCGAGCGUUGUCCGGAAUCACUGGGCGUAAAGGGCGCGUAGGUGGCCUGAUAAGGGUGUGGUGAAAGUCCGGGGCUUAACCCCGGAUCUGCCGUGCCGACUGUUAGGCUAGAGUGCUGUAGGGGCAGGCGGAAUUCCGGGUGUAGCGGUGGAAUGCGUAGAGAUCCGGAGGAAGACCGGUGGCGAAGGCGGCCUGCUGGGCAGUUACUGACACUGAGGCGCGACAGCGUGGGGAGCAAACAGG